rnacentral:rRNA from 1 species
UUGUGCUAAUACCGGAUAAGUCUUUACAGAGAAAGCUUUAUGCACCAUUGGAUGAGCCCGCACUUGAUUAGUUUGUUGGUAGGGUAAUGGCCUACCAAGACUAUGAUCAAUAGCUGAUUUGAGAGGAUGAUCAGCCACAUUGGGACUGAGACAGGCCCAAAUCUAUACGGGAGGCAGCAGUGGGGAAUCUUGCACAAUGGAGGAAACUCUGAUGCAGCGAUGCCGCGUGAGUGAAGAAGGCCUUUGGGUUGUAAAGCUCUUUCGUCGGGGAAGAAA